rnacentral:rRNA from 1 species
UCCAACCCAAUGUGACCAUACCAAACUGUUGCCUCGGCGGGGUCACGCCCCGGGUGCGUCGCAGCCCCGGAACCAGGCGCCCGCCGGAGGGACCAACCAAACUCUUUUCUGUAGUCCCCUCGCGGACGUUAUUUCUUACAGCUCUGAGCAAAAAUUCAAAAUGAAUCAAAACUUUCAACAACGGAUCUCUUGGUUCUGGCAUCGAUGAAGAACGCAGCGAAAUGCGAUAAGUAAUGUGAAUUGCAGAAUUCAGUGAAUCAUCGAAUCUUUGAACGCACAUUGCGCCCGCCAGUAUUCUGGCGGGCAUGCCUGUCCGAGCGUCAUUUCAACCCUCGAACCCCUCCGGGGGGUCGGCGUUGGGGAUCGGGAACCCCUAAGACGGGAUCCCGGCCCCGAAAUACAGUGGCGGUCUCGCCGCAGCCUCUCCUGCGCAGUAGUUUGCACAACUCGCACCGGGAGCGCGGCGCGUCCACGUCCGUAAAACACCCAACUUCUGAAAUGUUGACCUCGGAUCAGGUAGGAAUACCCGCUGAACUUAAGCAUAUCAAAAGC